rnacentral:snoRNA from 1 species
GAUAAAAGAUGAGUUGAAAAAAAGACAAGCAUAUGUCUGAUCUUAAAGAAGAGAAAUUUUUCAUGUCUGAUAUC